CAUGGAGAUUCGACAAAGUAGAGAAAAAAUGGCAAUACAUAUCGUGAAACCAUACAUAAAGUUACAAGAAGUUGCCGAGGCUAUAAUAGUGUUGGUUUUCAGUGUUUUCACCGUCAGCGAUCGGCUACGAUCGUGACCUGUAUAGUACUACUUGGGCUAAUGAUCUCUUCCGUGGCACCGCGGUAAGGCAGUCAACGAGAUUGAGUCGACGAAAGAGGCCUUAUUGUCCGGUAUAAGUUACAAUAUAUGGGAGAAAUUCCAAAAUCCUGACCCAACUGUUGCGUUCAGAGUGUGAAAGUGACCAAAUAAUUUUACGAUAGGUAUACGUGUAACGAAAUUUGUGCAACAGGACAGUGAAUUAAUCAUAAUAGUACGAACCUUUUCUGAGACAUUCAGUUUCGUAUGUGGAUGUGGAUGUGUGUGUAUUUGACAUAGCGUGGGAAGUGCAUUUGCCAUUUUCAUUUCAUAAAAAAUAAACUUAAAAAAAAUGAUUGAAUAAACAGGAUAAACAUUAGUAUAUUGGAUCUAUCGAUAUAAUAAUGGUGCAUCUAAUGAACCACAAGCACAAGAAAUAAUCUAAUCUAUAUGAAAAGUGCACAUCUUCACUAGGUGUUCGAUAAUGAAGUAAAACGACAUGCACGUGGGUGCUGCGUCAUCCCAAGCGAAUAUGGUGUUGGCUGGAGUGUGGUCAGGAAGCGCAUCAUCCGCGAUAAUGCUGGGUGGGCCGAAAUUAUCGACAGAUCUUCAGAUAACUGUUGCACACCAAUCGCAGCGCAACUCCAUGGGAUAUGGAGCUUCCAAGGGUCUCCUCAAUGGACCCGGACAAAAUAAUUGCUUCCUCAACUGUGCCGUGCAGGUAAUAUUUACUUAUUAUUUCUAUAUAGUUGCACUUCAUCGCAUAUUAAAACAGAAUGGACCUUUAAAAUAUUAAAUCAAUAUUAUAUUUAGUAUACAAAGAAAGACAAGAGAUUUAAUUUUUUUUGGACAAAGUUGUGACAUAAAGAUCAUAAUAUACUCUCGCGCAAUAGCAAUACCAUAUAUAAUAAUUGUUCUAUAGGAUAUACUUUACAUGGCUCUAAAAAUUUUAUCAUAUACAUAUUUAGACACAUAUUGAUUUUACUUUUGAAACCAAAAUUCAGUAAAACAAUCUUGCUGUUGUUUCACAUUGCUCUAUACACGAUGAAUGAUAACUUAUUUUUGCACAUGGGAAGAAAUGCAGGUUCCAAAGUAAUAAUGUGUAUGAGUGAGGAAGAUAACAUAAUUUAAAACAUCGAUUCUCUUAUUACGUUAUACUCUCAUUUAAUAGUCCAACUCUUUACAUAGUGUUAUACAGAGUUGUGUCUUUUAGAGAAAUCUUUAAUUCAAUAGGGAAUUUGAAGAGAUACCCAACUACAGGCAAGUGUAUUAACGCUACCGCAUGAAGUAGUAAUUGUAAAAAUUUUCUCAACGCAAUAAGGUGGAGAAAUAUAAGAAAAGAUUAAUUACUCGUCAUGGGAAGUGGACUCUCUUUGUGCUAUAUAAUGGAUUCAUCAUCCACUUCCAGACUUCCCCUCUCCUUCAACAUUGGAUCUAAAAAAAAAAACGUGGGAUUUUAAUGUUAUAAAUUCGAGAAUAAAUAGAAAUCAUACUGAAUUAUCCAUAUCAAUUCUAGAAGUACAUAGCAGAAUAGUAUUUUUUAUGAAAUAUUACCUCGACAUGGUUCUUAAGAAAUUGUCGACAUUACCUAAUUAUUCAUGCAAUUGCUUCCCUCCAAUUUACCUCGCCCUGCUGGACAAGGACUAUUUGCACUUUACAUUAAAUAAAUUAAAUGAUAUACUAAAGGGUGAGGUGGGAUGGAGUAUAUGUAGUAAUUAUAAUUCUUAUUAUAUUAUUAAACUAUUUCAGCCUCGAUGAGACUUUGUGAGAGAUCGUAAUAGUAAUAGCAAACUGCAAAGAGUAACUAAUCCUCAUGCAUUUAUGAACUGUGGUAUUGUACCUAUGUAUUACGAAAAGUUAUGGUCAUCGCAGAUUUCUAUACCCUAACUCUGGCCGACAUUUUUUAACUUUUUAAUUAGAACACUUCCUCUAUCUAAUGAUAGAGGCAUUACGAUUUUUUUGAAAAAAAAAAAUAUUUUUAUGAAACCCUAGAACAUUAUUCGCUUUCGUACUUGUGAUCGAUUUUUUUGAGCUUGUAACAUUCAUUCUGAGACGGUAAAUCUGGAAUAUCGAGCGGGAAAAAUAAAUUUUUUGCACAGGUUUUAUUAUUUUUUUGAACUGAUUCCGCAUGGCAGAAAAUUGUUGAAAAUCAUGAGGGACAGAAACAUAAAUUCUAUGCAAAUAACGUAUAAAACUGACCAGAAAGCUUGAGUAAGAAUCCGAUCGUUAUUUCACCUUUCUUAACAACGAUAAGGAUAUUAUGCAUUCUGCUAAAUAAUUAUAUAUGCCUUAGUAUCAACAUCUAUUUGUGACAUGGAAGCUCAAACUAACAACGAGAGCAAUAAUAAUUAGUAAUUAAUGCUUCCCUUAUUCAAUUCAUAGUGAUUGCGUAAUGACCAAGAAGGAGGUAAGAGGAAGUUAUUUCUUUUUCGCUCACAGCAUCACACAUAAUUAUGAAUUUCCUUCAUCAUUUCUCCCAUUACAUUCCAUCACUAGUGCGAAGGGACAUUAAUAGAACACGCAUAACUUUCAAUCGGUAUCACCCAUGGGAAGUGGCUAUAAUCUCUCAAUCACACACCAUACUUUGUUGAAAGUAAAACUGUUAAAAAACCUUAUAAAAUAAACUUUUUCAAACAUUAAAAAAUUUUAUUAUAAUGCUUAAUGAUACACAUUGACCUUUUGGAAUAAGUAUCUAAAGGAUUGAAAAAAAAGAAACAACUCUAUAAAGUGUAUUUUCAAUUUAUGUUUUUGAAAUUCUAAAAAUUUUUUUUAUAAAAUAUCAUUCGUGUUAGUGUUGCAAUCAAUUCAUAUACAAUACCUACCAUCUACAUAUCAGAUCUACCAUUUAAAAUUUUUACACUUUUUUUCUAUUCUAAAUUUUAAGAGUUAUGUAUCAUGAGUACCCAAUUCAGUUAUUUGCGCCACUCCCAUAUUUAUUGAAGUUUUUUUUAGAACUUUUUAAUAAAAUGCGUUAACUUUUUUGUUUUCUACUUGAAAAAUGUAUAAAAAGUAAGAAUAGAAUUUUGACUGAUUUUCUAUUGGGCUAAAGCAGUAAAAGUCGCACGUGGCCCUUUUCAAAAACUCAAGUUUAAUCAUUGUCAUUAUAAAUUAUCAGUGAACUGUUGUUUAUUUAUCCUCUAUGGGGAAAGAAAGAGAGCUGUAAAAUGGAAGAAGAACCGGUUUUACGUUAGAAUCGUGUUGCGUCAACCUCGCAUACUGGAGGUUAAAGUAAGGGAACAAAAGCGCGCGCAUUCUCUGAGAUCGCGCCAUUUGUUGGAAUCAAAAUAAAACCAAGAUGCUGUACAAAGCUCUCAGAGUAAUACAAUGCAUACAUAGUAUUUCUCCACUAAUGCUAUUCAACGUGAUAGCAUGAAAUCAGACUGUGUGCGAGAACUUUUUACUUUUACAUAUAGAAGCAUAAAACUUCAUAUCGUGUUUUAACACUACAUAAACAUAAGUAUUUACUCUUUCCAUAUUAUGUAAAGUUUCAAAACCUAUUGACUACUUUACAUAGAAACUCGAUUAGGUACCUGGAAGAUUUCGAAUUAAAAUUCCAUACUAUUUUAAGCAUUUAUCAUCCAACAUUUUAAGCAUAUUAUAGAAUUUUCAUAUGAUUAACAACCUUUCUCUGCGACGAAAGAAGUGUUUAAAGGGAUAUCACACCGAGAUGUGGUUGGACUAUAAUAUGAAGCACUUAAAAUAAAAAUUGGUUAUUAGUAUAGAGAGAAAAAUAGCGGUAGGAGU